rnacentral:rRNA from 1 species
CAGUCGCCGCGGUAAUACGUAGGGUGCAAGCGUUAAUCGGAAUUACUGGGCGUAAAGCGUGCGCAGGCGGUUUGUUAAGACAGAUGUGAAAUCCCCGGGCUCAACCUGGGAACUGCAUUUGUGACUGGCAAGCUAGAGUGUGGCAGAGGGGGGUGGAAUUCCGCGUGUAGCAGUGAAAUGCGUAGAUAUGCGGAGGAACACCGAUGGCGAAGGCAGCCCCCUGGGCCAACACUGACGCUCAUGCACGAAAGCGUGGGGAGCAAACAGGAUUAGAUACCCCGGUAGUCCCUGUCUCUUAUAA